rnacentral:antisense_RNA from 1 species
AUCUAUGGCGGGUUGCGCAGGGACUUGUUCGCAAGUGCCGGUUCGUUCUGUCCGGUCCGCCAACCUUGUGCAAUCCGUCACCCAA